UGCUGAUUUCACUUAUACCAGUGGCCCAGGCUCAAGGGAGUCCUAAAGCUGUGGUGUCCAUAAAGCCUGAUACACAUGUGUUCAUUGGAGAGAUUGUUACUGUCAGAUGUGACAUACAGGGAGGAGGAGACACUCAGGGGACUUACAGCUGGAAGCUAAUUAAUAGUGAAGAUGGAAGAGAGAGAUUCUCCACAGACAACACAAAGCAGGUCGUCAAAAUCCAGUCUGUUAAAGACAGUGGUACCUACACCUGCAGUAUAAAGGGGAGAGACUCUCAGAGCUCAGAGAUCAGUGAUGCUGUUACACUGACUGUAUCAGCAAAACCCAAAGCGACUGUGAGAGUGAAUCCUCAGAGCUCCGUCUACACUGGAGACACCGUCACUCUGAGCUGUGAGCUGCAGCAGGGGACUGGAUGGGGGUUUCAGUGGUACAAAAAAAAUCAGCCACAGAAUCUGAACAGUGAACAAGCAAAGAUACUUAAUGUGACAGUCGAUAAUGCAGGAGAAACAGAAUACCAGUGUCGGGCAUCUAGGCUGAACUUCGAUGACUACGGUGACACUCGCUCCUACUACACAGACCUCAGUGAUCCGGUCAAGAUUACUG